rnacentral:rRNA from 1 species
GUGACUAUAUGUUUAACGGCCGCGGUAUUUUGACCGUGCAAAGGUAGCGCAAUCACUUGUCCUUUAAAUGUGGACCUGUAUGAAUGGCAUAACGAGGGCUUAGCUGUCUCCUUUCUCAAGUCAAUGAACUUGAUCUCCCCGUGCAGAAGCGGGGAUAAAACCAUAAGACGAGAAGACCCUAUGGAGCUUUAGACAAAAAACAGCCCCUGUCAAUAAACCCUAAAUAAAGGGAAUAAACCUAGUGAACCUGUUUUAAUGUCUUUGGUUGGGGCGACCGCGGGGUAACAAAAAACCCCCAUGUGGAAUGAAAACACCCUUUUUAAACCCAAGAGUCACCACUCUAGGAUACAGAACAUCUGACCAAUAAUGAUCCGGCUAAAGCCGAUUAACGAACCGAGUUACCCUAGGGAUAACAGCGCAAUCCUCUUUUAGAGUCCAUAUCGACAAGAGGGUUUACGACCUCGAUGUUGGAUCAGGACAUCCUAAUGGUGCAGCCGCUAUUAAAGGUUCGUUUGUUCAACGAU